GUCCCAACUGUAAACGGUGUACACUUGGUGUGGGGGGAUUUGACCCCCUCCGUGCCGGAGCUAACGCGUUAAGUGUACCGCCUGGGGGAGUACGGCCGCAAGGUUAAAACUCAAAGAAAUUGACGGGGGCCCGCACAAGCGGAGGAGCAUGUGGCUUAAUUCGAUGCAACGCGAAGAACCUUACCAGGGCUUGACAUGCAGCUGCACGCCCCGUGAAAGCGGGGAAGCCUUCGAGGGUGCUGCACAGGUGCUGCAUGGCUGUCGU
rnacentral:rRNA from 1 species